UAACGAAUCUUCCGCAAUGCACGAAAGUGUGACGGAGCGACGCCGCGUGCGGGACGAAGCCCUUCGGGGUGUAAACCGCUAAAACUAUCAGGAAAGUUCUGAUCCGGUAGUGAUAAGGAGCGACUAACUCUGUGCCAGCAGUCGCGGUAACACAGAGGCUCCGAGCGUUAGGCGGAAUCACUGGGCUUAAAGCGUGCGUAGGCGGCACAUCAAGUGUCUUGUGAAAGCCCACGGCUCAACCGUGGAAUUGCUUGGCAUACUGGUGUGCUUGAAUUACCUAGGGGCGAGCGGAACUGACGGUGGAGCGGUGAAAUGCGUAGAUAUCGUCAGGAACGCCAAAGGCGAAAGCAGCUCGCUGGGGGUAUAUUGACGCUGAGGCACGAAAGCUAGGGUAGCGAACGGGAUUAGAUACCCCCGUAGUCC
rnacentral:rRNA from 1 species